GUACUCACUUUGGCAGCACAUAUACUAAAAUUGGAACGAUACUGAGAACAUUAGCAUGGCCCCUGCGCAAGAAUGACAUGCAGAUUCAUGGAGCGUUCCAUACUUAU
ensembl:snRNA U6 U6 spliceosomal RNA